rnacentral:rRNA from 1 species
UACGGAGGGUGCAAGCGUUAUCCGGAUUCACUGGGUUUAAAGGGUGCGUAGGCGGGCAGGUAAGUCCGUGGUGAAAUCUCUGAGCUUAACUCAGAAACUGCCAUGGAUACUAUUUGUCUUGAAUAUUGUGGAGGUGAGCGGAAUAUGUCAUGUAGCGGUGAAAUGUGUUGAUAUCAUCAGGAACUCCGGUGGCGAAAGCGGCGUGCUGGACCUUUACUGACGCUGAGGCGCGAAAGCCAGGGGAGCAAACGGG